AUCAAAGAGCGUCUGCAGGAGUCGGAUGAUAUUCAUUCAUUAUUUGCGAGAUUUGUGCGACAAAAUCAAUAUAUUUUUCAACAAAACACGUUUAGAUAAAGAUGAAACAAAAUAAAGAUUUAAAAUGUUCAUCUCCUUAUGUACUCCCUUAUCUUUAAAAAAUCAGAUGUGAUUAAUGUCUGGCGUUGAAGGUUACAAUAUACGAAAUCUUUUUGGAGUGCAAUAGGAAGCUUAUUGAUUUCUACACUUCAAAGUUAAAGACUACAUGAGACUUUGACAGAUGGCGGGAAACCCUCAUCCACUGGUACGAACCCGGUAGAGGAAUGUCUGCAACUAAGCCGAGGGCCACUGGAUAAGGGUUGUUGAUGGUAAAACAGGUUAAAGACUACAUGAGACUUUGACAGAUGGCGGGAAACCCUCAUCCACUGGUACGAACCCGGUAGAGGAAUGUCUGCAACUAAGCCGAGGGCCACUGGAUAAGGGUUGUUGAUGGUAAAACAGGUUAAAGACUACAUGAGACUUUGACAGAUGGCGGGAAACCCUCAUCCACUGGUACGAACCCGGUAGAGGAAUGUCUGCAACUAAGCCGAGGGCCACUGGAUAAGGGUUGUUGAUGGUAAAACAGGUUAAAGACUACAUGAGACUUUGACAGAUGGCGGGAAACCCUCAUCCACUGGUACGAACCCGGUAGAGGAAUGUCUGCAACUAAGCCGAGGGCCACUGGAUAAGGGUUGUUGAUGGUAAAACAGGUUAAAGACUACAUGAGACUUUGACAGAUGGCGGGAAACCCUCAUCCACUGGUACGAACCCGGUAGAGGAAUGUCUGCAACUAAGCCGAGGGCCACUGGAUAAGGGUUGUUGAUGGUAAAACAGGUUAAAGACUACAUGAGACUUUGACAGAUGGCGGA